CCAGAGGCCCAUCAAUAAUCAUCCAUAGAAGCACGAGGAGGGAGCAGGUGUGAGCCCCAGAGAAGUGUGGCUCUGGGCAGCUGGCCUGUCCCCAGUCUCUGCUUCUCUUACUGGCUCCUGGGAACUCUAUGAGGCUGGAAUGAUCAUAAUCUCCAUCUAACACAAGGGGAAACUGAGGCUCAGAGAAGUUAAGUGACUGACCAUAGUCACACACGAAGCAGCAGAAUCGGGUGUCAAAUGCAAGUCUACUUCCCAAAAGGAGCUUUGUCUGGUGCCUGUGGGGAAGAGGAACUCAGUGUCAUAUUUUGGUAACGUCAUCUUGGGAAUUAUACAAACCCUGGAAGAUUUGCCAUCAGCCAGGAAGAACGCGGUUGCCACAGUGAUGAUUCUCUUCGUUCCCAGCUCCCCAAGGACACAGCCCACCUACCACGACCCUGCUUGCUGGCUGCCAGGGUCUCUGCUUCCCUGCUCACCGCCCCCGUGAGGUCCUCCAGCUCCAGGUCAGCGUGUGGAGGUGGUGAGAAC
rnacentral:lncRNA from 1 species